rnacentral:rRNA from 1 species
UGAGUUUGAUCAUGGCUCAGGACGAACGCGGGGGCGUGCUUAACACAUGCAAGUCGAACGCUGAAGCCUGGUGCUUGCACCGGGGGUGAGUGGCGAACGGGUGAGUAAUACGUGAGUGACCUGCCUUUGACUCUGGGAUAAGCCUGGGAAACUGGGUCUAAUACCGGAUGCGACUACUGCCCGCAUGGGCUGGUGGUGGAAAGGGUUAUGUACUGGUCUUAGAUGGGCUCACGGCCUAUCAGCUGGUUGGUGGGGUAAUGGCCUACCAAGGCGACGACGGGUAGCCGGCCUGAGAGGGUGACCGGCCACACUGGGACUGAGACACGGCCCAGACUCCUACGGGAGGCAGCAGUGGGGAAUAUUGCACAAUGGGCGCAAGCCUGAUGCAGCGACGCCGCGUGAGGGAUGACGGCCUUCGGGUUGUAAACCUCUUUCAGCAGGGAAGAAGCGGAAGUGAC